UACGGAGGGUGCAAGCGUUGUCCGGAUUUAUUGGGUUUAAAGGGUACGUAGGCGGUUUGAUAAGUCAGUGGUGAAAUUUUACAGCUUAACUGUGAAAGUGCCAUUGAUACUGUUGAACUUGAGUAUUGUAGAGGUAGGCGGAAUUUCUCAUGUAGCGGUGAAAUGCAUAGAUAUGAGAAGGAACACCGACAGCGAAGGCAGCUUACUUGGCAAUAACUGACGCUAAUGUACGAAAGCAUGGGUAGCGAAC
rnacentral:rRNA from 1 species